AACACUGCCUAGCACCGGUACAUUAGUGGUCAGUACAAGUCUUCCAGUUUCCUCUGUAUCAAUGGUUCCCAACCUUGGGUCUGUGGGGAAAUUGUAUGCUUUUACAAUGUAUAUAGCAGACAUUGUUUUGGGCACAGGUCAGUUUCCAGUAAGGAUGAUCAUUAACCUGCUUUGGUAUCUAAAAUAAUUAUCUGUCUCUGAGUUGAUUAACUUGCAUGUGUAUUUAGGAAUUUCCUGUUUCUGGGUAAAUUGUAUUAACUUAUUUGUUUACUUAAGGUGUUAACUGUAUAUGUUUACCCUGCUCUGUAUUCAGGAAUGUUUACCAGCCUGUCUGUCGAUUCUGGCUGUGUAUUCAGGAUAUUAACCGCCUCUGUUUAGAAUAGUUUUUGAUUAACUUGUUCAAAGGAAGGUCCCGAUAAUAAACGGGGGCGAGAGGACGGUCUGGAAGAGUUCUCACUGAACAGCAUGCUAGAGAGCACGCUGUUUAAUUCAUCCGGAUCCCACCCUGAAACACACACCCGAGCGCUCGUCUCCUUUCUCCUUGCUGGCCAAGAGGGGAGGGAGGCUUCAUCUGCAGAUCCCGAGAGAGGCUUCAUCUGCAGAUCCCUACAAUGAGUUUCAUCUGCAGAUCCCAACAUGGGUCUCCAGAUGUUCUUGGACUAAAACUCCCAGAAGCCUUCACCAUUAACUGUGCUGGCCAGGUUUUCUGGGAGUUGAGGUCCAAGAACAUCUGGGGCCCCAAGGUUGGGAACCACUGCUCUAUAUAAAAGGCCAAGCAACCCAGAACAGUAGUGAACUUUUUUUGUUUUUUAUAUAGUUGUGUAUUUCCACACACAUGCUGUUUUCUCAUUUCAUGGAAUCCAGUUGCCACAUGCUUUUGUGGCAACUAUUACAAUAAUGAUCCAGAGCAGAUGGAAGCAGUGCAGGCAGAGAGAUCAAGCCGUAUUUUGAAGAGGUUUAUAACAGCCAUUUUUCUCAGCUUCAUCACUCUUAAGAUGUCCUGGUGUAAGAUGUGUCAACAGCCUUACUUUGCUCUCAUUGAACAAGGGAACAAGAAGUUGGAUGCUAUGGAAUUAAAAUUCUAUUGCAUGGCAGUCCUGGCACUGAAUCAAAUGAUCAAUAGUGCAUGGUGGCUUAUAAGCAAUUUGGGGAGAGCUGAUGUAACAAUUUUCUUGGAGUGUCUUUGAGAACAACACUACAACAUGGCUAUGGUAUUUCAGGCAGAAGAACAUCAGCUGCUGGCCUGUUGAUUAGCAUCUCAUGCCACAUGGCAGACUGUGGAUCAAAAGCCGUAACAAGAACUGAAUUUUUUCAUCAAUAUGCUUGGCUUCACUUUUCAAGGUUAACCCAAGAAUGAGAGAUAUGUAUUUCUAUAUGUGAUUGUGCCUGGAAGCUGGGCAAGUUCCAGAAAAUAAAAACUACUGUCUACAGGUGGGUACCCCUUUC
rnacentral:lncRNA from 1 species